UACGUAGGGGGCAAGCGUUGUCCGGAAUCAUUGGGCGUAAAGCGCGCGUAGGCGGCCCGGUAAGUCGGGUGUGAAAUCUCGGAGCUUAACUCCGAAACUGCAUUCGAUACUGCCGUGCUUGAGGACUGGAGAGGAGACUGGAAUUUACGGUGUAGCGGUGAAAUGCGUAGAUAUCGUAAGGAAGACCAGUGGCGAAGGCGGGUCUCUGGACAGUUCCUGACACUGAGACACGAAGGCCAGGGGAGCAAACGGG
rnacentral:rRNA from 1 species